CUGGACUCAAGUGAUCUCCCUGCCUUGGCCUUCUAAAAUGUUGGGAUUAUAGGUGUAAGCCAGAACACCCAGCCUAUGCCUUUGUUGAAACUCUGAAAGCAGAAUGGCAGAAAGUAGCUUUAAGUGAAUCAAAAGAAAUGAUUUUUUCUUAUUUUUUUUUUUAAGAUCUCAAAGUUUGUAAUUUUUUUCUUAACCAAAUGCAAUAUUGUUAAAUAGAUGGUGUUUCUGAAUAUAACUUUUAGUAAGUUAUCUUUAAUAUUUCUGUUUCCUUAGCAAGAUGAGAGGUCUUCAAUGACAAAUAAUUUUCUUUUAAUCUUGGUAGGACUUGUCAGUUCUGCUGGCAUAAACAUAGGGUUUUAAAUUGAAAACCAGGAUUGUUUACUAGAUAUAGAUAGAGAUUUACUAUAAAAUUCUAUUAUCCAAGACUUCUAAAAGAUUGACAUAUCUUUGGUUAUUAUUAAUACUCCCAUGUCUGCUCUUAUAGUUUUCUUUUUUUAUUGCUUAAUGCUUCACUUUUCUUACUUUUCUCUGGAAAAGCAUUCAGUAUGUAGUAUUAGAAUGCAUAACCUUGUGAGCAUAUUUAUAGCAUCUCAUUUUUUAAUACUGUGAUGAAUGAUUAAUCAUAAAGGGUUCAUCUUUUUUAUCCUAUGCAAUAUCUAAUGUAUCCAUGAUUUAAUACUUUGAAGGUUUUUGGAGGGAUGUUUAUUUGAAAGUGGAAAUGUUUAUUUUUUUAAAUCCUUAUUCUAAGAUUUAAAAAAUCCUUUUGCUCAUGCAUACGAGCCCUCUCUUCUGUUUAAGACUCAAGAGGACUUCGAAAAGAAACGUAAGUGUUGAGGAGUUUUCCUCUACUCAUCUUGGGUUCAUUGACUAGGAUUCUGAAAAGUAGACAGACAAAAGUCAAAUUAACAAGAGAAAAACAACAACAAAAAAAGCUAAUAAGAAGCUUAUUAGCGGGCAUUAUGCAACUGGGGGUACUCAGUGGAUGAGUAACCCAAAGAAGGGGUUAGGACUUGGGGAAUAUGAAGCAUCUUAACAAAAGAAAAAUACAUUUGUAGAGGAAUUACAAAGGAAAGAAAAAUGCUUCUGGUUUUUAGGGACAGCAGCUGUGAAAAGGCAAGUAUAUGGUAGAAACCAAUGAAAGAAGGUUAUUUUAGCAAGGUUUGCUGCAUAGAUUCCACUGAUGCUUUCUCUAGUCUAACGAGUUUAGAACUGUCUCCAGUGAUUAAGAAUACUCUUGCUUUUUCUGAUAGAGAGGGGAGGAAAAGCAGAUUUUCUUUGUUUCUACUCCUCAAUUGCUCUCAACUCAAAGUAAUGCUGAGAGAAUGUGUCCAUACUGAAUAGUUUCAAUAAAUGGCAUGUAUUUGUAAAUACUCACACAGAAACACACACACACACACACGUUUCUUUCUGUUUGCAUGUGCAUACAGGUGUAAAACACACAAAUCAACCCUAAUACUUUGAAGUCAAGAGGAGGAUCCACAAAGAAUUCAAAUAACUUAUUGAAAUUGCAGGAGAAGGAAUGUAAAAGGAAAGUUCAUCUUUUCACCUGUAAGACUUCUAUGGGCUUGCCUGUAAAUAUACACCACUUGUCAUUUGAAUUGCUGAGAAAAGAAAUUCAUUCUACAAGCUUCAACAAUGGGAGCUUUUCCCCUAAUUAGUAGAAUGAUGUAUCAUGAUCAUUUCAGGUGUUGUAUUUGUUAGGCUUUUAAAUUUGUCAGCUAAAUAUUCUCUGUAUCUAGUUUACACAGCUGAAUUUUAUAAAUUAUUUGUGCAAAUGUUUAGGUUUUUAACAGAAAAUUAAAAGGCAUUUGGAUGUAUUUAAUUCACUUUCCCAGAAAAUAUAACAUUUUAUUUACAUCAUACAGAGUAACAAUAAAUAUCACUUAUGUAUAUGUA